UGUUAAUGAUGAGUUCCACUUCAUUGGUCCGUGUUUCUGAUACCUUAUGAUUUCAGUGGAAGUUCUGAUAUA
ensembl:snoRNA SNORD18 Small nucleolar RNA SNORD18